UAUAAAUUCGAAAGUGGGUUUGUUUGUUGGUUUGUAGGUUUGUCCUACAAUCAUGCCGCAAAAGAGCAACGGACCAACGUGAUUUUUUGCAUAGAUAUAGCUAAAAGACCUGGAAGUGACAUAGACUAC